rnacentral:rRNA from 1 species
AACGAACGCUGGCGGCAGGCCUAACACAUGCAAGUCGAACGAGAUCUUCGGAUCUAGUGGCGGACGGGUGAGUAACGCGUGGGAACGUGCCCUUCUCUACGGAAUAGUCCUGGGAAACUGGGUUUAAUACCGUAUACGCCCUUCGGGGGAAAGAAUUUCGGGGAAGGAUCGGCCCGCGUUGGAUUAGGUAGUUGGUGGGGUAAUGGCCUACCAAGCCGACGAUCCAUAGCUGGUUUGAGAGGAUGAUCAGCCACACUGGGACUGAGACACGGCCCAGACUCCUACGGGAGGCAGCAGUGGGGAAUCUUAGACAAUGGGGGGCAACCGUCGAUCUAGCCAUGCCGCGUGAGUGACGAAGGCCCGUACGGGUCGGUAAAGACUCUUUCGUCCUGUGAAGAUAAUGACGGUAGCAGGUAAAG